rnacentral:rRNA from 1 species
UUAAGAGGCAAAAUCUCCUCUCAAAGCCUAAUCUCAUCUGAGAAGCUAAGUAGGGUUGGGCCUGAGUAGGACUUGGAUAGGAGACUGCUGGAAAUACCAGGUGCCACAGU